AGGAAUCUGCCUGGUAGUGGGGGACAACGUUUCGAAAGGAACGCUAAUACCGCAUACGUCCUACGGGAGAAAGCAGGGGACCUUCGGGCCUUGCGCUAUCAGAUGAGCCUAGGUCGGAUUAGCUAGUUGGUGGGGUAAUGGCUCACCAAGGCGACGAUCCGUAACUGGUCUGAGAGGAUGAUCAGUCACACUGGAACUGAGACACGGUCCAGACUCCUACGGGAGGCAGCAGUGGGGAAUAUUGGACAAUGGGCGAAAGCCUGAUCCAGCCAUGCCGCGUGUGUGAAGAAGGUCUUCGGAUUGUAAAGCACUUUAAGUUGGGAGGAAGGGCAUUAACCUAAUACGUUAGUGUUUUGACGUUACCGACAGAAUAAGCACCGGCUAACUCUGUGCCAGCAGCCGCGGUAAUACAGAGGGUGCAAGCGUUAAUCGGAAUUACUGGGCGUAAAGCGCGCGUAGGUGGUUUGUUAAGUUGGAUGUGAAAGCCCCGGGUUCAACCUGGGAACUGCAUCCAAAACUGGCAAGCUAGAGUACGGUAGAGGGUGGUGGAAUUUCCUGU
rnacentral:rRNA from 1 species